AAUAAAUGAAUUGUGGUUUAUUAUUCAUAUACAUGAGGAUUUUUAAUAUCUUCACCUGAAUGCACUGAUAUCAUGAGAAGGAGGAGAAAUAGAGCUAAUUACAAAAAGGCUGAAGUCAUUAGGCACAAUUUAAGAUAUUCUGAAAUGAAGACCAUUCUCUGUUUCUAAAACUUUUGACAAAAACAAUGAUAAAAAAAAAAAGAAGAGUAAACACACAAA